rnacentral:rRNA from 1 species
UCANGAUGAACGCUGGCGGUAGGCCUAACACAUGCAAGUCGAACGGUAGCACAGAGAGCUUGCUCUCGGGUGACGAGCGGCGGACGGGUGAGUAAUGUCUGGGAAACUGCCUGAUGGAGGGGGAUAACUACUGGAAACGGUAGCUAAUACCGCAUAACGUCGCAAGACCAAAGUGGGGGACCUUCGGGCCUCAUGCCAUCAGAUGUGCCCAGAUGGGAUUAGCUAGUAGGUGGGGUAACGGCUCACCUAGGCGACGAUCCCUAGCUGGUCUGAGAGGAUGACCAGCCACACUGGAACUGAGACACGGUCCAGACUCCUACGGGAGGCAGCAGUGGGGAAUAUUGCACAAUGGGCGCAAGCCCUGAUGCAGCCAUGCCGCGUGUGUGAAGAAGGCCUUUCGGUUGUAAAGCACUUUUCAGCGGGGAGGAAGGCGGUUAAAGGUUUAAUAACCUUCUUCGAUUGGACGUUUACCCGCAGAAGAAGCACCGGCUAACUUCCGUGCCCAGCAGCCGCCGGUAUUCCGGAGGGUGCCAAACCGUUUAUUCGGA